GGUGACCGAUGGUGGCCCAUGAUGAUGGAAAAAAUCAAAACAAAAAUGGAGAAAAUAGGAAAUCUAAAAAUCAGUGGUAACAAGGAUUUUUCAGCAAAUAAUUUGGCACAAACUCAAGCUUAAAUCCUAUACAAGAUUAAGGGAAAGAUAAUUAAAAAAUUUACUUGGUCUUUGAAGAGGAUUGAUCUGACUUUCAGUGGCUAAAAUGAGAUUAUUCCACCAGUAAAUAAGGCAAAAUCAGGGAAGA
rnacentral:lncRNA from 1 species